UACAGAGACUGCAAGCGUUAUUCGGAUUCACUGGGCGUAAAGGGUGCGCAGGCGGUCGGGUGUGUCAGAUGUGAAAUCCCGAGGCUCAAUCUCGGAACUGCGUCUGAAACUACUCGACUAGAGUACUGGAGAGGGUAACGGAAUUCACGGUGUAGCAGUGAAAUGCGUAGAUAUCGUGAGGAACACCAGAGGCGAAGGCGGUUACCUGGACAGUUACUGACGCUCAGGCACGAAAGCGUGGGGAGCAAACAGG
rnacentral:rRNA from 1 species